rnacentral:rRNA from 1 species
GAUGAACGCUAGCGAUAGGCUUAACACAUGCAAGUCGAGGGGCAGCACAAGGUAGCUUGCUAUCUGGGUGGCGACCGGCGCACGGGUGCGUAACGCGUAUGCAACUUGCCCUAUACAGGAGGAUAACCCGUCGAAAGACGGACUAAUACUGCGUAUGCUCACGACUUGGCAUCAAGUGGUGAGGAAAGAAAUUCGGUAUAGGAUAGGCAUGCGUCCCAUUAGCUUGUUGGUGAGGUAACGGCUCACCAAGGCAACGAUGGGUAGGGGAACUGAGAGGUUUAUCCCCCACACUGGUACUGAGACACGGACCAGACUCCUACGGGAGGCAGCAGUGAGGAAUAUUGGUCAAUGGGCGCGAGCCUGAACCAGCCAAGUCGCGUGAAGGAUGACUGUCUUAUGGAUUGUAAACUUCUUUUAUACGGGAAUAACAAGAGUCACGUGUGACUCCCUGCAUGUACCGUAUGAAUAAGCAUCGGCUAACUCCGUG